rnacentral:rRNA from 1 species
AGAGAUUGAACUGAAGAGUUUGAUCCUGGCUCAGAUUGAACGCUGGCGGCAUGCUUUACACAUGCAAGUCGAACGGCAGCGCGGGGCAACCUGGCGGCGAGUGGCGAACGGGUG